AGCUAUGUGGUGAAAAGGUAACACGGUCUGGCAUUUGCUAGAUAUACUGGGGGUUCAAGUCCCCCCAUAGCUU
rnacentral:tRNA from 1 species